rnacentral:rRNA from 1 species
CGCUGGCGGCGUGCCUAACACAUGCAAGUCGAACGAGAAAGGUAGCAAUACUGAGUAAAGUGGCGCACGGGUGAGUAAUACGUGAGAAUCUGCCUCUGAGUGGAGAAUACCUCCGAGAAAUCGGAGUUAAUACCGCAUAUCUUUUUGAACCGCAUGGUUCUUAAACGAAAGACGGCUUCGGCUGUCGCUCUUAGAUGAUCCCGCGGCGUAUUAGUUAGUUGGUGGGGUAAAGGCCUACCAAGACCAUGAUACGUAGCCGACCUGAGAGGGUGAUCGGCCACACUGGGACCGAGACACGGCCCAGACUCCUACGGGAGGCAGCAGUGGGGAAUCUUCCGCAAUGGGCGAAAGCCUGACGGAGCAAUGCCGCGUGAGUGAUGAAGGAAUUCGUUCCGUAAAGCUCUUUUGUUUAUGACGAAUGUGCAGACUGUGAAUAAUGGUUUGUAAUGACGGUAGUAAACGAAUAAGCCACGGCUAACUACGUG